GGGGCUGUAGCUCAGUAGGAUAGAGCAAGCGCCUCCUAAGCGCUGGGCCGCGCGUUCGAUUCGCGCCAGUCCCG
rnacentral:tRNA from 2 species